rnacentral:rRNA from 1 species
AGAGUUUGAUCCUGGCUCAGGACGAACGCUGGCGGCGUGCCUAAUACAUGCAAGUAGAACGCUGAAGAGAGGAGCUUGCUCUUCUUGGAUGAGUUGCGAACGGGUGAGUAACGCGUAGGUAACCUGCCUUGUAGCGGGGGAUAACUAUUGGAAACGAUAGCUAAUACCGCAUAACAAUAGGUGACACAUGUCAUUUAUUUGAAAGGGGCAAUUGCUCCACUACAAGAUGGACCUGCGUUGUAUUAGCUAGUAGGUGAGGUAACGGCUCACCUAGGCGACGAUACAUAGCCGACCUGAGAGGGUGAUCGGCCACACUGGGACUGAGACACGGCCCAGACUCCUACGGGAGGCAGCAGUAGGGAAUCUUCGGCAAUGGGGGCAACCCUGACCGAGCAACGCCGCGUGAGUGAAGAAGGUUUUCGGAUCGUAAAGCUCUGUUGUAAGUCAAGAACGAGUGUGAGAGUGGAAAGUUCACACUGUGACGGUAGCUUACCAGAAAGGGACGGCUAACUACGUGCCAGCAGCCGCGGUAAUACGUAGGUCCCGAGCGUUGUCCGGAUUUAUUGGGCGUAAAGCGAGCGCAGGCGGUUUGAUAAGUCUGAAGUUAAAGGCUGUGGCUCAACCAUAGUUCGCUUUGGAAACUGUCAAACUUGAGUGCAGAAGGGGAGAGUGGAAUUCCAUGUGUAGCGGUGAAAUGCGUAGAUAUAUGGAGGAACACCGGUGGCGAAAGCGGCUCUCUGGUCUGUAACUGACGCUGAGGCUCGAAAGCGUGGGGAGCGAACAGGAUUAGAUACCCUGGUAGUCCACGCCGUAAACGAUGAGUGCUAGGUGUUGGAUCCUUUCCGGGAUUCAGUGCCGCAGCUAACGCAUUAAGCACUCCGCCUGGGGAGUACGACCGCAAGGUUGAAACUCAAAGGAAUUGACGGGGGCCCGCACAAGCGGUGGAGCAUGUGGUUUAAUUCGAAGCAACGCGAAGAACCUUACCAGGUCUUGACAUCCCGAUGCUAUUUCUAGAGAUAGAAAGUUACUUCGGUACAUCGGUGACAGGUGGUGCAUGGUUGUCGUCAGCUCGUGUCGUGAGAUGUUGGGUUAAGUCCCGCAACGAGCGCAACCCCUAUUGUUAGUUGCCAUCAUUCAGUUGGGCACUCUAGCGAGACUGCCGGUAAUAAACCGGAGGAAGGUGGGGAUGACGUCAAAUCAUCAUGCCCCUUAUGACCUGGGCUACACACGUGCUACAAUGGUUGGUACAACGAGUUGCGAGUCGGUGACGGCAAGCUAAUCUCUUAAAGCCAAUCUCAGUUCGGAUUGUAGGCUGCAACUCGCCUACAUGAAGUCGGAAUCGCUAGUAAUCGCGGAUCAGCACGCCGCGGUGAAUACGUUCCCGGGCCUUGUACACACCGCCCGUCACACCACGAGAGUUUGUAACACCCGAAGUCGGUGAGGUAACCUUUUGGAGCCAGCCGCCUAAGGUGGGAUAGAUGAUUGGGGUGAAGUCGUAACAAGGUAGCCGUAUCGGAAGGUGCGGCUGGAUCACCU